UUCAAGGGGUAGUUUAAAUAAAAUACUAGUUUUGGGAAUUAGAGACAAGAAAAUUUCUUUCCCUUGA
rnacentral:tRNA from 1 species